GGGGGGGGGGGGGGGGGGGGGGGGGGGGGGGGGGGGGGGGGAGGGGGGGGGGAGCUGGCUCCGUCGACGGUGGCGGCGGGCGGGUGGGUGACACGUAGGUGACCUACCUAUAGGACUGGGAUAACUUCGGGAAACCGGAGCGAAUACCGGAUAAUAUUUCGAACCGCAUGGUUCGAUAGUGAAAGCUGGCUUUGCUAUCACUUAUAGAUGGACCUGCGCCGUAUUAGCUAGUUGGUAAGGUAACGGCGUACCAAGGCAACGAUACGUAGCCGACCUGAGAGGGUGAUCGGCCACACUGGAACGGAGACACGGUCCAGACUCCUACGGGAGGCAGCAGUAGGGAAUCUUCCGCAAUGGGCGAAAGCCUGACGGAGCAACGCAGCGGGAGUGAUGAAGGUCUUCGGAUCGUAAAACUCUGUUAUUAGGGAAGAACAAACGUGUAAGUAACUGUGCACGUCUUGACGGUACCUAAUCAGAAAGCCACGGCUAACUACGUG
rnacentral:rRNA from 1 species